GAUGAACGCUGGCGGCGUGCCUAAUACAUGCAAGUCGAGCGAACAGACAAGGAGCUUGCUCCCUUGACGUUAGCGGCGGACGGGUGAGUAACACGUGGGUAACCUACCUAUAAGACUGGGAUAACUUCGGGAAACCGGAGCUAAUACCGGAUAAUAUUUCGAACCGCAUGGUUCGAUAGUGAAAGAUGGUUUUGCUAUCACUUAUAGAUGGACCCGCGCCGUAUUAGCUAGUUGGUAAGGUAACGGCUUACCAAGGCGACGAUACGUAGCCGACCUGAGAGGGUGAUCGGCCACACUGGAACUGAGACACGGUCCAGACUCCUACGGGAGGCAGCAGUAGGGAAUCUUCCGCAAUGGGCGAAAGCCUGACGGAGCAACGCCGCGUGAGUGAUGAAGGUCUUCGGAUCGUAAAACUCUGUUAUUAGGGAAGAACAUACGUGUAAGUAACUGUGCACGUCUUGACGGUACCUAAUCAGAAAGCCACGGCUAACUACGUG
rnacentral:rRNA from 1 species